GGGGGUGACAGGCUUCGACGGGGAUACAGAGGUCAGCGGUGCGUGCCGAGCUCUCGGAGUCUCGUUAAACCUUCGGGAAAAUAGCAACUGCCAACCAAGAACUGGCACUCGCAGCUUAAUUAACUGCGACGUUCCGCCGCCUGAUGCCUGCGGGGG
rnacentral:tmRNA from 1 species